GUGCCAGCCGCCGCGGUAAUACGGAGGGGGCUAGCGUUAUUCGGAAUUAUUGGGCGUAAAGGGCGCGUAGGCGGCCCGGUAAGUCAAAGGUGAAAUCCCUCGGCUCAACUGAGGAACUGCCUUUGAAACUGUCGGGCUUGAGGCCGGGAGGGGGUAGCGGAAUUCCCAGUGUAGCGGUGAAAUGCGUAGAUAUUGGGAGGAACACCGGUGGCGAAGGCGGCUACCUGGACCGGUUCUGACGCUGAUGCGCGAAAGCGUGGGUAGCAAACAGGAUUAGAAACCCCCGUAGUCC
rnacentral:rRNA from 1 species